rnacentral:rRNA from 1 species
GGGGUACACAAGUGGCGAACGGGUGAGUAACACGUGAGCAACCUGCCCUUGACUUUGGGAUACCAGCUGGAAACAGCUGCUAAUACCGGAUAUGACACGCGCUCGCAUGGGUGUGUGUGGAAAGCUCCGGCGGUCAGGGAUGGGCUCGCGGCCUAUCAGCUUGUUGGUGAGGUAGUGGCUCACCAAGGCUUCGACGGGUAGCCGGCCUGAGAGGGCGACCGGCCACACUGGGACUGAGAUACGGCCCAGACUCCUACGGGAGGCAGCAGUGGGGAAUAUUGCACAAUGGGCGCAAGCCUGAUGCAGCAACGCCGCGUGCGGGAUGACGGCCUUCGGGUUGUAAACCGCUUUCAGUAGGGACGAAGCGCAAGUGACGGUACCUACAGAAGAAGGACCGGCUAACUACGUGCCAGCAGCCGCGGUGAUACGUAGGGUCCGAGCGUUGUCCGGAAUUAUUGGGCGUAAAGGGCUUGUAGGCGGUCCGUCGCGUCAGGAGUGAAAACUCGGGGCUUAACCCCGAGCCUGCUUUUGAUACGGGCGGACUAGAGGGAUGCAGGGGAGAACGGAAUUCCUGGUGGAGCGGUGGAAUGCACAGAUAUCAGGAGGAACACCGGUGGCGAAGGCGGUUCUCUGGGGAUCACCUGACGCUGAAAAGCGAAAGCGUGGGGAGCAAACAGGCUUAGAUACCCUGGUAGUCCACGCCGUAAACGGUGGGCACUACGUGUGGGGGGACAUUCCACGUUCUCCGUGCCAAA